rnacentral:tRNA from 1 species
CGGCCCGUAGCUCAGCGGUGAGAGCGCCCGGCUGUAGAACGGGCGGUCCCGGGUUCAGGGGAAACCCGCCCACAAAUCCCGGCGGGCCGA